rnacentral:rRNA from 1 species
GGUCAAGCGAACAAGUGCAUGUGGUGGAUGCCUUGGCGAUCACAGGCGAUGAAGGACGCGGUAGCCUGCGAAAAGCGGAGGGGAGCUGGCAAACGAGCUUUGAUCCUCCGAUAUCCGAAUGGGGAAACCCACCUCUUUUGAGGUAUCCGUAACUGAAUACAUAGGUUACGUGAAGCGAACGCGGUGAACUGAAACAUCUAAGUAACCGCAGGAAAAGAAAUCAACCGAGAUUCCCAGAGUAGUGGCGAGCGAAAUGGGACCAGCCUGUACUCUUUAUCUUCAUUGUUAGUCGAAGGCUCUGGAAAGUGCCGCCAUAGCAGGUGAUAGCCCUGUAGACGAAAACAGCGGGGAAGAACUAGGUGUACGGAAAGUAGGGCGGGACACGUGAAAUCCUGUCUGAAGAUGGGGGGACCAUCCUCCAAGGCUAAAUACUCGUGAUCGACCGAUAGUGAACCAGUACCGUGAGGGAAAGGCGAAAAGAACCCCGGGAGGGGAGUGAAACAGAUCCUGAAACCGCAUGCAUACAAACAGUCGGAGCCUCGCAAGGGGUGACGGCGUACCUUUUGUAUAAUGGGUCAGCGACUUACAUUCAGUGGCAAGCUUAACCGAUUAGGGCAGGCGUAGCGAAAGCGAGUCCGAACAGGGCGAUUCAGUCGCUGGGUGUAG